UCCCUCUCAUUAUCACACCUGGAGAGUGUCCUGUAUUCUACCGGUCUUGGCUACUAGAGGGAGAGUCAAGCAGAGGCCUAUCCACUCCAUUCCUAGCUUGGGCAGUGGCUAGCCAGUGGAAGGCAAUCUGCUAUAAGU
rfam:Ornithorhynchus anatinus chromosome 2, whole genome shotgun sequence.